UUGCAUAAUGGAGUAAUUAAAAACAUGAAGAGUAUAUAACACGAAACUAUAUGAGCUAAUUUUAAUAAAUUAUUAUGUAGCAAAAUAAUAAGAUGAGAUAAAAUUAGGAGUGAUAGGCCUUACAAAUAUAGUGAUAUCUUGAUUCUUUUAAAAUGUAUAAGUACAUUGACAAAUUUAAAGCUACAAGGUUUUAAAUAGUAAUUAAAAUUAAUUAAGAGUAUGUAAGACAUAAUAAUCUAUACAUAGAACAAAUAAAUAUAAUUAUUAUAUAGUUAUUACUUUUAAGAAGAUGUAUAAUAAUUUUUAAAAUAUUAAUAAUGUUAUUAUAAGUAUUAAGAAGAUAUAAAUAGUGAACUCGGCAUUAAGUUUUCAACUGUUUAUCAAAAACAUAGCUGUGUGUAAUUAUACACAGUGUUUUCUGCUCAAUGAAUAUUUAAAUAGCCGCAGUACCUUGACUGUGCAAAGGUAGCGUAAUCAUUUGGCUUUUAAUUGGAGUCGUGUAUGAAUGAAUAUAUGGGGACUUUCUUUACCAUUUAUAAUACUUAAAAUUACUUAAUGAGUGAAAAAUCUCAUAGUUAAAUAAUAGACGAGAAGACCCUAGAAAUUUAUAUUGAGAUUUUGUUGGGGCAACAUAGUAACAGUAAACUUACUAUAUGUAUAUGAAAUUUUUUUGAUAACAUAAAUUACUCUAGGGAUAACAGCAUAAUAUUUGAAUGUUUGUGACCUCGAUGUUGGAUUAGGAAGUUAUAGUUAGAAG
rnacentral:rRNA from 1 species